rnacentral:ncRNA from 1 species
GAUAGGGGAGCUGGCGCACGCCGGCUGAGAUUGGGUCCAUCGCGGCCCUGACCCUCCAACCUGAUCUGGGUAAUGCCAGCGUAGGGAGACUG